AGGAGACAGGGAUACUGGAGUGAUGGAGGUAGAUAUGUAUAGGGGGAAGGAGACAGGGAUACUGGAGUGAUGGAGGUAGAUAUGUAUAGGGGGAAGGUGACAGGGAUACUGGAGUGAUGGAGGUAGAUAUGUAUAGGGGGAAGGAGACAGGGAUACUGGAGUGAUGGAGGUAGAUAUGUAGAGGGGGAAGGUGACAGGGAUACUGGAGUGAUGGAGGUAGAUAUGUAUAGGGGGAAGGUGACAGGGAUACUGGAGUGAUGGAGGUAGAUAUGUAUAGGGGGAAGGGGACAGGGAUACUGGAGUAAUGGAGGUAGAUAUGUAUAGGGGGAAGGAGACAGGGAUACUGGAGUGAUGGAGGUAGAUAUGUAUAGGGGGAAGGAGACAGGGAUACUGGAGUGAUGGAGGUAGAUAUGUAUAGGGGGAAGGAGACAGGGAUACUGGAGUGAUGGAGGUAGAUAUGUAUAGGGGGAAGGAGACAGGGAUACUGGAGUGAUGGAGGUAGAU
ensembl:lncRNA